UCAGCACCAGGUUUGGGUACAAGCUGGUUCCUCCUCUGCAAAGUGGUAUAAAACAGUCACAGAGUACAACCCAAUCACCAUCCCCCGAUCCAUGGAACGGAAAGACGCCACCACCCUCCAUCGCCCGCUGGGAAAUUGACGACCGUGUACCUAGGGAAUGCCGAUACUGUCAAGCGUUUGUGGAAGAGCCGCCUCUGCACCAUGUCUUGGUCUGCCCUAUUCUUGAAAAUAUCAGGGCUCCCCGAUUCAGAUGACCCAGCCCUCAUGCUCCUCUUGAUGCUCCAUCUGCUGCAAUAUGUGUUAGUCAGAUGCUUCAAUCCAAAAAUAACUUUGAUCUUAUCUGUACGUCACCACCACCGAGAUGAUUCUACAGCCAUAUGGCUCCACUUACUUCUCAUAACCUACUUAAAUGAUGCUUACACAACCUAUGCUAUACCUACAUAUAAAGACCUAUUGCCGGGUGGCUCCUGCGAAGCCCGGACUACCACAUAAGGUGGUAAAAAAAAAAAAGAAAAAAAAAACGAAGGAAGGAGGAAUUCCCCCCCCCCCUCCUGGAUGAGUAUAUAAGGCGGCCCAGAAGCGGGAAAGGCAUAGUGUCCUUCCUCAGAGACGCCGUAAGCACUCUCUCUCUCUUGCCCCCAAGAUGAAGCUGGUGAGAUUUCAAUGUUGAUGGCCCUGGUUCAGCUCGUGCCAUGCCUGACCCCUACCAGUGGCUGACCGCGUGGCUGACCCUGACCUCGUGGCCGACCCCUGGUUCUUUAGACGCAGGCACUACUACCCACACUACCACCACUACCCCCACCAUCACCACUACCACCAUUGGUGAAAACGAGUAUUAUGUUUCCUCUCUAAAUAAAUUAUUCCAAAGUUGUAGCAAAAUACAUUUUCUUGGAUGAAUUUGUAUACCAAUUCAAAAUUUAUAUUUUUCGAUCAUCUUGAUGUGAAAAUAAAACCUAAAAGAGU